UCUACGGGCGGCAGCAGUGGGGAAUAUUGGACAAUGGGCGAAAGCCUGAUCCAGCCAUGCCGCGUGUGUGAAGAAGGCCUUCGGGUUGUAAAGCACUUUCAGUGGGGAAGAAAGCCUUGGGGCUAAUACCCUCGAGGAAGGACAUCACCCACAGAAGAAGCACCGGCUAACUCCGUGCCAGCAGCCGCGGUAAUACGGAGGGUGCGAGCGUUAAUCGGAAUUACUGGGCGUAAAGCGCGCGUAGGCGGUCUGAUAAGCCGGUUGUGAAAGCCCCGGGCUCAACCUGGGAACGGCAUCCGGAACUGUCAGGCUAGAGUGCAGGAGAGGAAGGUAGAAUUCCCGGUGUAGCGGUGAAAUGCGUAGAGAUCGGGAGGAAUAACAGUGGCGAAGGCGGCCUUCUGGACUGACACUGACGCUGAGGUGCGAAAGCGUGGGUAGCAAACAGGAUUAGAUACCCUAGUAGUC
rnacentral:rRNA from 1 species